CUGGAGCCGUGGAAAUCACCUAACACACACCUCCCGGGAGCACUGUACUGCAGAUCCUGAUGGUCCCUUCACUGGAGCUGUGUGAUUCUGUCUGUAGUCAAACGGAGAUAUGCAGGGAGAGAUGCUGGCUGGCAUUUUUCAAAGAAAGAACAACUGCCAUAAUUUCCACCUCAGAGGCUCCAGACCUCACAGACCUCCAAGCGCUGUCCGUAGGAGUGUGGUGCACCGUGACAGCCUGCAAAGGAAAGGCAGAGGGGACUCCAACCCAGUGCAGCUCCUGCUGCAUUAGCAUGGAGAUGAUUUGCCCACGGGCUUCCGGCUCACUGAGGAUGAGCAGGCCUGUCUGCUGCCCCCUGCACUGUCAUCCCCGGCUGUUCAGAGGCAAAGCUGUGGAUCCCGCCCACCACUUAGUGUCAUCCUCAGAACAUUACAGUUACUGGGCUCUGCGUUUGGCCAUCAAUUCGACUUGUUCUGCUUCUAAGAUGGACAGUCACAGCAUGACAUCCCGACAGACUCAGAGGGCCUGGGAAGAACGGAGCAUGUUUGUGGCUGUAAAAAUGAACACCUUGGAUACUUUGUUCCUGAUGAGGCAUAUUUUUGUAACCUUGUUCUGGAUUAUAAUUCUUCAGCUAGAUGCAAGAAAAAGCUUGAGAUUUUCAACAAAGUCUUUAGAGUCAUUUGGAAUGAGAAGAAUUGAGUUUGAGCCCUUACUGUACAAUUUUACUGUCAAGUAACAC
rnacentral:lncRNA from 1 species